rnacentral:rRNA from 1 species
GACGAACGCUGGCGGCGUGCUUAAUACAUGCAAGUCAACUGAACUUAAGGUAGCAAUAUUUUAAGGGAGGUGGCGCACGGGUGAGUAACACGUAGGUAAUCUGCCUUUAGGUCUGACAUAAUUCCGCGAAAGCGGGACUAAUAUCAGAUGAUGCAGCGGCUCGACAUCGAGACAGUUGUUAAACCUUCGGGCCUAAAGAUGAGCCUGCGUCUGAUUAGGUAGNGGUCGGAGUAAAAGCCCACCAAGCCUGCGAUCAGUAGCUGGUCUGAGAGGAUGAUCAGCCACACUGGAACUGAGACA